UACGAAGGGGGCUAGCGUUGCUCGGAAUCACUGGGCUUAAAGCGUGUGUAGGCGGAUUUGUAAGUACCUUGUGAAAUCCCACGGCUUAACCGUGGAACUGCUUGGUAUACUGCUUAUCUUGAGCCACUUAGGGGCAACCGGAACAAACGGUGGAGCGGUGAAAUGCGUAGAUAUCGUUCGGAACGCCAAUGGUGAAAACAGGUUGCUGGGAGUGUGCUGACGCUGAGACACGAAAGCCAGGGGAGCGAACGGG
rnacentral:rRNA from 1 species